rnacentral:rRNA from 1 species
GUGCCAGCCGCCGCGGUACUACGUAGGGGGCAAGCGUUGUCCGGAUUUACUGGGUGUAAAGGGCGCGUAGGCGGACCUGUUAGUCAGAGGUGAAAUCCUGCGGCUUAACCGUAGAACUGCCUUUGAUACUGCAGGUCUUGAGUUCGAAAGAGAGUAGCGGAAUUCCAGGUGUAGUGGUGAAAUACGUAGAUAUCUGGAAGAACACCAGUGGCGAAGGCGGCUACUUGGUUCGUAACUGACUCUGAGUCGCGAAAGCGUAGGGAGCAAACAGGAUUAGAUACCCUUGUAGUCCACGCCGUAAACGAUGAAUACUAGGUGUUGGCUCCGUUAGGAGUCAGUGCCGCAGCUAACGCAUUAAGUAUUCCACCUGGGGAGUACGAUCGCAAGGUUGAAACUCAAAUGAAUUGGCGGGG